rnacentral:lncRNA from 1 species
AUGGUUACUGGAAAUGGUUUGCUGGUAACUUGGCAUCUGGAGGUGCUGCUGGUGCCUCAUCCCUCUUGUUUGUUUACUCUCUUGAUUAUGCCCGUACUCGUCUUGCCAAUGAUUCUAAGGCAGCUAAGAAAGGUGGAGAAAGGCAGUUCAAUGGUCUUGUUGAUGUUUACAAGAAGACUCUUGCUACUGAUGGAGUUGCUGGGCUUUACCGUGGUUUCAACAUCUCCUGUGUUGGAAUCAUUGUCUACCGUGGUCUGUACUUCGGAUUGUAUGAUUCCCUCAAACCAGUUCUUCUCACUGGAAAAUUGCAGGUUUGUUUUUUUCCCCCUAUGAACAAAUGAUAUUCAUUUUAACCAAAUUAUUAUUUUUCGUUGCAAGCAUGCCACUGCAAGAUACUUUAGAUUUUUAUUCGAUCGUCUGCUGAAAUCUUUUGAAUUCUUGACAUUACAGGAUAGCUUUUUCGCCAGCUUUGCGCUUGGAUGGCUCAUUACCAAUGGUGCAGGUCUAGCAUCAUACCCUAUUGACACUGUUAGGAGAAGAAUGAUGAUGACCUCCGGAGAAGCUGUCAAGUACAAGAGUUCCUUUGAUGCAUUCCAACAAAUCCUCAAGAAUGAGGGUGCUAAGUCAUUGUUCAAGGGAGCUGGUGCUAACAUCCUCCGUGCUGUUGCUGGUGCUGGUGUGCUUUCUGGUUACGACAAGUUGCAGGUUCUUGUGUUCGGCAAGAAAUACGGAUCUGGUGGUGCUUAAUUAUUUAGUGUUUUAAGUCAAAUUUAUUGUUUUUAGAUGGCGAUGAAAAGCAUUUAAGUUCCGAGAGUUAGAC